rnacentral:lncRNA from 1 species
AUCCACCUUAAUGCUGGAGGAACAUGGGCAUUUGGAUGACGCCGGACUGGAUGGACAAGAUGAUCAUCUCUUCAGGGUGCCGUCGAUUCGGCGUCAACUCAUGGCGACUCUGUGGAUCAUUGUCCUGGUCUUCCGCCAACCGGCUAAGACUUGAAAGCGGGCCAUCCGUGGCUGCGGUGCCUACGUCGAUCCACCGAAUAGCUGGCCUUCCUCUUCUACGUUGACCUUCCUCUCCGCCCAGCAUGAUGUCCGUUUCCAUUGGCCGCUCUUCCCGCAUGAUGUGUCCGAAGUAAGAGGGUCGAAGCCGUGUCGUCCGAGCUGCCGGUGAUGUCUUUGCUUCGAUCUUCUGCAAUACCCACAUAUUUGUUUUCAGGGCCGUCCCGGGUAAACGCAAGAUUCUUUG